CAGGGGUUUGAGGGUACUAAUUUUUUUUAUGGAAAAACCAAUGAAUUCUACACUUAACAUUUUGAAACAUUAAGUGGUAGCUUUUGUUGAGAAUAAACACCUGAAUCUUUCCACUAAUACAAUGUUAGUUUUUGGUUCGUCGAUAGAAGUAAAUGUUCUCGCUUCUGUGCGCAGCAAUCCAUCAGAGGGGAGUUUCAAACAUGUCAAAAAGCCUCUUAACAUUCUUUGGGGAAAAAAAGGUAAGCUCAAAGUACAGGGCUAGCCCAUGUUCCUUUACUGGAAGCCAUGAAUAAAAUAGUUGAGACACUUGGGGUAGAUGAUUCUUUGUCUACGAAUGGCAUGGCUGAUAGUGUUUCAACGGGAACCGAUAGUAUGGAUAUAGCAUCUGUUUGAGAAGCAAAUGUGUCUCAAGCUCGUAUAAUUAAGAAGGUUAUGGAUAUUUUUGGUAGUGCAUCAGGUCACAAUGUUAAUUCUAAAAAGACAGAGGUGCUGGUCUUGAAUGCCUUACCGAUGACUAAGGUCCUGCAUUUAUUGCGGAUUCUCCAUAACUCGUGUGAGCAGCAUCGUGUAGCUACCAUUCCAACCCACAACUCGUGUGAACAGGCCCAUUUCAUAGCUCGUGUGAGCACUAUUGAAAAAGAAAGGCUAUAAUUAUAUGGGCAGGCACACUAUGUGUGAGCAUUCCUAAGUAUCCGAUGUAAUUCUAGAUGGUUCAACGGGUAAGUAAAGGUAAUUGGCAAGGCAUGUGUUUAAAUGGAUAAUUACUUAUAAAUUUAUGAAAGGUAAAUUUGGAUGAAUGCAAGUGAAUUGAAUGGAACUAUAUGAUUAUGUGAUGAAUGUUAUGUUCAUGAAGAUUCAUUUGUGAAAUGGUUGAUUUUCUAUAUGCAUUAUACAUGAGCCUACUAAUUUGUGAGUUUGGUGAUGCUUAUAGGAUUGUAUUAAGCUUAUGAGUAUGGUAAAGAUGUUAUGCACAUUUUAUAAAUUGAGCUUAAGAAUGGUAAGUUAUGUUUGAGUUUAUACGAGCUUACUAAGCACUAGUUGCUUACGUAGUUAUUUUUCUUUGUUUCGUAGAUUAUCAGAAGCUCGAUCGGUUGAAAGCUUGUCGAAGAUCUAUCACACUAUCUAGCAACCACUUCGGUAGUUGUUAAGUUAUUUUGGCCAAGGUUAUAAAUGGCAUGUAUAGGACCUUUUUCUAAUGAAUGUCUCUGAAUAUGUUAGUGGACAAUUUGGUAUGAAUAUGUUUUUGGAAUAUGUAUUUUGUAUGUUAGACUUAUAAUGCUUAGGCAAGUUUAAGUCUUUUGGUCACUUUUAAGUACUUGUAAUAUAUGGUCCUUUUGGUAUAUUUGUGGUGAAAUGUGAAUGGUUAAAUUGGUGUCUUUAUGUAGUUA